GGCCCGGAGUGUGUGCUGCAGGCGGUCGGUGAGAAUCUCCAGUUCCUGGGUCAGCUUGUACUCCUCGCGGAACUGCUCGCCCAGCAGCACCAGGUCUCGCGUGGCGUCGUGCAGCGGGAUGUCGCUCAGGUCGUGGCAGGUUCAAAGCGCGAUGGAGAGCGCGUGCUCAAAAAUGUCAUGUUGACAUUAUACUGCGAUAGAAAGGGAGGCGCUCAAGAGCGACACAUUUAAAAGGCCACUUCUGGCACAUUCUUUGCAGCAAUCCGCAGGUUUUUCCCACAGCUUUUUUUUUUUUUUUUUCAAACAUUUGCAACAACUCAACCCAAAAUAAAACACAUUCUGUUUUCUGAGUCAGGGAUCAAUUUGCAAUUUCCACAAAUUACAACAGUUACCAGGUGUCUAACUGAAAAGUUCAAAAUGAAAAAGCUGUUAUCUCGAUUUUUGGGUAAAUCAAACCAUUUUUUUUAAAUUGGUUCAAUUUACAUAAACCAAAUCCUAAACCUUCUCAAAGGGAGAGAGAAAAGUCAGUUAAAAUAUCUUCUGCUAUCCUCAAGAUCCUGAUCCUAUUUUUAGGGGGGUUGCUUCAAAUAAUUUAUGACCAAAUGAUAAAAUGAAUUACAAAAAAUAUAUUCAGGAUUCAUUAUGCAUGUGGUUUGCUUUUUAUUUGGCUAUUGUUACAAAAGGCCAAAUCGGAGGUCGACUAGCAUCUUCUUUGUCUUUGACCCUCAGUUCCACUGUAAUUUUUGUGAAAGUGCAAAUAUAUUUGGAAUAGGAAUUAUACUGUGUUGGCAACUAUGUGAACAAUUAUCAUGGAUUCAUAACUGGAUUUACACUGUAGGUCCUAGUGCCCAAUUCUGAUGCCUCUAUGCGAUCCAUUUCCUGUUGUUUCCCUCAUUACGCCACUGGCCGCCGUCUGCAAUUAUUUUGCACAUCUAAUGUAGCAUACAGUAUUUAGACCAUAUUUCAUUGGCUAUGUUUUCGCUGUAGUUUGGGCGUUUUUUUUAAAUGUGUUUGUUUUGUUUGGACCACCAAUCAGUGUAUUGCGAGAGUGCGUUUAUGCUGCACUCACAUUGGCGGAUGUCAGAUACAUAUCGGAUUUUUUUAUCUACAUUUUGAAAGAAGCCUAAUUCAGUAUAGUUUACGUGAUCUGCGCAAAUGUGACGUUCGGUGAACCUGCCGUGUCAAGCUACGUCAGUCCUCCACUGGAUCUGGUGCAAUUUUCAGUUUCAAAAUAAGAGCACAAGCUGGAAGUGCUGUUUUUGCUUCUUGAGUGUUGCUAGCUUAACCCCGUUUUAAUAUCACAGAAUGCCUUUUAUUGUCACUAUACAUAAGAUUUGCUUUGUAAAUGUGCAAAGUGUACUUUGUGAGCCUAUGCUAUGUGCGUUUGCCUAUUUGUACUUUGUUGUCCUUCUCUUUGAAACCACACACACACACACACACACACACAUCCACACAACUAAACAUAAAUAUGCACAAAGAGAAAAGAACUGAAUUCAAUGGAAGUAUUUUCAUGAGUGUAUAUUAAAUUUGGGUAUCUUAAGCAUUUUUUUAGUGUUAUGUUCAUUUGUAUUUUUGCAAUAGGAGUGGUCCCAUUCACGUGAUUUGCGAUGCAGUCCAUGGAAAAUAGUGUGUUCAGGAUCAUAAGUUUGUUCGGCUGUGCGCUUUAAUGACGAGCGCGAAGCGACACACAACUACACGUCCAAGUGCCCUGUUAACAAUAAACAGUACCUGUGUGUUACUAGUGUUUUACACAAUGUUAACUAGUGACAGAUGCUGUGUAGCAAUCACUAAGUUAGCGGCAUAAUAAAUAAUGAGAAUAAAUAAUAAAAUAGAAUGCACAUUUGUGGUCACGUGACGCCUCCUAUCUGCCUGCCCCCUCAAGUAUGAAUUCCGAGAACCGGCCCUGCUUGAGAGUAGAUCACCGGAAUCGGGCAACUGGACCUGCAGUGUAAAUCCAAGUAUUGGUGGAUAGACAUUUACGAAUAUCUUCAUCAUCAUAUGUUAAAAAAAAAAAAACAAUAAUUCAACUCACGAGCUUCUGAAAUCAUACUUUUCGUUAUUUAUUUAUAACAACAAUAAAACUAGGAGUCAGUUAUUUAAACAAGUUCAAUAAAAUGUUAUUAUUUUUCCUA